rnacentral:lncRNA from 1 species
UCUGAUUCAUUGUAUUUUUUCUUUAAAUAUGUUUUGUGUUAAUCAAAACAUCCCCACCACAACUAUUUCUACUACUACAACAAUUAUAGUAUCAAUAACAUGUUUGUAAUAGCAAAAACCUCAUACCUGAAACAUAAUUUGGUAUUUACUAAACAAACUAAUAGCCAAAGGGACGAACCUUAUUGUACUGCAGGAGCCAUAUGAUUUUCUUAAUUGAUUUUUGCUACGUGCAGCCACUCAUAAUGAAAUAGCCUUGGUGCAACAUAAACCAUGAUUGUGGUUUUCUAAUUCAUAUUUAUCAGGACUUAUCUUGAAGCACCUGAUAUGCUAUUGCCUAUACGUGACCCUUUGGAACAAGCUUUAUGCUAUUGCCUUU